GGAACACACCUGAUUGGGCCAACCAAAGAUGGAGAAGGGAAAGAGCCCGGAAGAGAACCAGGUGUCCAACACAUCCUCAUCUGGGAGAAGCCGAGGCCAGAGGACUUGGCCCUGCUCACCUGUGCCAAACUCCAUGUCCACAAAGUCAUCAAAGACAACGGGGAGGCUCCGGGGCGAGAACGGGUGAAGGACACACUUUCCCCUCAGAUGCUGAGCGCGGAAGGGAACAUCAGCAAGACCAGCACUGGACAUGAGACCCUCGCCCCGGCAGGCCCCCCUCCUGACACCCUCCCAGCUCCUGACAGUCCCAGGCUGGGAAAGGUCCCGGGGUAGCGGCACCCCACCUGGUAUCUGGGGUCCUUGGGGUGCACAGCCACAGCGACGUCGCCCAGCAUUGUCUCAAUCCGAGUUGUUGCCACCACCACCUCCUCGUCGCUGUCUGGGGAGACAGAAGGACCUACCUGAGCAACCUCCUUCCAGUCCCGCCCUCCUCCCCAGCCCACAUCCUGCUGUCCUCAGCUCCCACCUGAGCCCUGGACCUUGUAGGCAAAGGACACGAGGACCCCGAACUCCACCUUCUCCUUGUAGCCAGGCACUGAGAGCAGGGUGCGGCCUGUCAGCUCCUUCUUAUCCACCUGCAAGAUGGGCCUUUAGAGGUGUGGCCUGGGCCUGGGCGGGGGACCAGGGGGCAGGCUGGGCAGAGGCGCACCUCAAUGUCAGAGAUGGCGGAGUUGAGGGUGCAGGACCAGUUGACCAGGCGGGUGCUGCGGUAGAUGACACCCUCCUCGUGGAGCCUAACAAAGGCCUCUGUCACAGCAGCUGACAGUUUCUGUGGUGAAGGAAUGCAAGUCAGGAGAACUCCUGCCUGGAGGCUGGGGUGGUGGGGUCCACUGGCCUGUCCUGGCGUCCUCCACCCAGCACAGACCCCUUUAAGAGGCUCCUUUCUGAGGCUCUGGGAGCACCCAGCAGGUGGCGUGAGUGAUGCUGGGAGGCAGGAACUCUCAGCUGCAGUCCGGGCCUUGAACAGAGCGCCUGCUGCUCACACCCGAGGGCCUGAACUCUAGGGCCAUGAUAUGGGCUGGGAGUGGAUGCCCGCAGCUGUGCCCUAACCUCUGUGUAGAGGGUAGCCCACCCACCAAGCACCCCUGCCCUGCCGGAGGCACCGCCUGCAUACGGGGUCCAUGGUGAAGCAGGCUCGAUCCCAGUCCAAGGAGCUGCCCAGUUUCUUCAGCUGGUGGUAAAUCCUGUCGCCCUUCCUGGAAGCAGAGUCCUGGAUAAGCCUCCAAGCAUCAGGGCUGGUCAGGCACAGGAGUCACCCAACCCCCUGAAACUGAGCGAGGCCCUUCAGCCCACCCCAUGGGAGGGCCUGAGCCUGCAGCCGGGCCGCACACCACAGGGCCGGUGUGUACUCACUCCUCUUUCCACUUCCACACCUCCUGAAGAAAGGCCUCACGGCCCAGCUGGUGCCGGCUCAGGCCCCGCUCUCUCCAGAGCUUCUUCUCCACCACCACCUGGGUGGCGAUGCCCGCGUGGUCACAGCCCGGGUUCCACAGGGUGGUCUCUCCGCGCAUACGGUGCCUAGGGGAGGCGCGAGGGCAGAGGGUGAGCCGGGCUGGGAGGCUCACACCAGAGCUUGCGGGUUUCCUUGGAGUCCACGGACACUUAAGAAGGGGAGUGACAGAAACCGCUCAUCCUAAAGACAGCCAGGGAGAGAGGGGCUGAGGGCCAGCAGAGCCACCCGGGAACGAGCACAGAGGAGACCCCAGCCAGCCAGCCCGCAAACAGUCCAUCAAUCAAGUCACACAGUGCUGUCAGCCAGGAGUGGCACCUGUGAUCCCAGCACUCCUGAGGCAGAGGCAGGUGGAUCUCUAAGAACUCCAGACCAACCUGGUCUCCACAGCAAGUCCCAGACCAGCCGGAGCUAUAAAGUGAGACCCUGUCUCAAAAGCCCAAACGAUGGCUCAGCCGUUCAGAGCACUGGCUGCUCUUCCAGAGGUCCUGAGUUCAGUUCCCAGCAUGGUGGCCCACAACCGUCUACAGUGAGAUCUGCUGCCCUCUUUUGGCCUGCUGGCUCACAUUUUAUUGCAUACAAAAUAAAAUGAAUAAAUCUUAAAAAAAAAAAAAAAAAAAAAACAACCCUAAA